rnacentral:rRNA from 1 species
UACGGAGGGGGCUAGCGUUGUUCGGAAUUACUGGGCGUAAAGCGCGCGUAGGCGGACCUGCAAGUCAGGGGUGAAAUCCCGGAGCUCAACUCCGGAACUGCCUUUGAUACUGGCGAUCUUGAGAUCGGAAGAGGUGAGUGGAAUUCCCAGUGUAGAGGUGAAAAUUCGUAGAUAUUGGGAAGAACACCAGUGGCGAAGGCGGCUCACUGGUCCGAUACUGACGCUGAGGUGCGGAAAGCGAGGGGAGCAAGCUAGG